AGCGAACGCUGGCGGCAGGCUUAACACAUGCAAGUCGAGCGGGCAUCCUUGUGGUGUCAGCGGCAGACGGGUGAGUAACGCGUGGGAACGUGCCCUUCGGUUCGGAAUAACUCAGGGAAACUUGAGCUAAUACCGGAUACGUGCGAGAGCAGAAAGGUUUAUCUGCCGAAGGAUCGGCCCGCGUCUGAUUAGCUAGUUGGUGAGGUUAUGGCUCACCAAGGCGACGAUCAGUAGCUGGUCUGAGAGGAUGAUCAGCCACACUGGGACUGAGACACGGCCCAGACUCCUACGGGAGGCAGCAGUGGGGAAUAUUGGACAAUGGGGGCAACCCUGAUCCAGCCAUGCCGCGUGAGUGAUGACGGCCUUAGGGUUGUCAAGCUCUUUUCUCCGGGACGAUAAUGACGGUACCGGAGGAAUAAGCCCCGGCUAACUUCGUG
rnacentral:rRNA from 1 species